UUUAAGGCCAGGAACUCUCUCUCAAAGGGAGAAUAGUUGUUUUCAAAUAAUUGGAGGGCCUUGAUCUGAAAUCACUGGGAUUUUUGUGGUGAAUCACCUUUCCUUUCAAAGUCUUCCAGAGACUUCCAACAACAUCCUUAGCUGCCAUUGGAACCUCAGUGGGUAGCCAUUCCAACCUUGAUCUGGAAGUUCCAACCCCCAUUGAGGCUUCGGUAACUGUCACACCUACAAGGCAGGGCCAAGAGAGGACCCUGAAGACCCAAGAUCCAGAUGCUCCAGCUCUCUUGGUGCCUGGACCCUGGAUUCUGGAGGUAGACUGAGCAGAGUUCUCCAGAAAACACUGCCAGACUGCAACACACCUUUCCCAGACCCUGCAACCCACCUAUCCCUUCACUUGUAAGUUAUGCCACUAAAUAAACCUGCCUUUUAACUACA